rnacentral:rRNA from 1 species
GACGAACGCUGGCGGCGUGCUUAACACAUGCAAGUCGAACGGAAAGGCCCUGCUUUUGUGGGGUGCUCGAGUGGCGAACGGGUGAGUAACACGUGAGUAACCUGCCCUUGUCUUUGGGAUAACUUCAGGAAACUGGGGCUAAUACCGGAUAGGAGCUCCUGCUGCAUGGUGGGGGUUGGAAAGUUUCGGCGGUUGGGGGUGGACUCGCGGCUUAUCAGCUUGUUGGUGGGGUAGUGGCUUACCAAGGCUUUGACGGGUAGCCGGCCUGAGAGGGUGACCGGCCACAUUGGGACUGAGAUACGGCACAGACUCCUACGGGAGGCAGCAGUGGGGAAUAUUGCACAAUGGGCGGAAGCCUGAUGCAGCAACGCCGCGUGCGGGAUGACGGCCUUCGGGUUGUAAACCGCUUUCGCCUGUGACGAAGCGUGAGUGACGGUAAUGGGUAAAGAAGCACCGGCUAACUACGUG